rnacentral:rRNA from 1 species
CAGUAGCCGCGGUAAUACGGAGGGUGCAAGCGUUAAUCGGAAUUACUGGGCGUAAAGCGCACGCAGGCGGUCUGACAAGUCAGAUGUGAAAUCCCCGGGCUUAACCUGGGAACUGCAUUUGAAACUGUCAGGCUGGAGUCUUGUAGAGGGGGGUGGAAUUCCAGGUGUAGCGGUGAAAUGCGUAGAGAUCUGGAGGAAUACCGGUGGCGAAGGCGGCCCCCUGGACAAAGACUGACGCUCAGGUGCGAAAGCGUGGGGAGCAAACAGGAUUAGAUACCCGCGUAGUCCUGUCUCUUAUACA